UUAGCAUAAAAAUAUGCAAAAAUGAUUAAUUGUGAGUUCAGUUCUCUCGGUGACGACCGAACACAUCAACAGGAAACUAAACCAAAUUUCGACGAAAACAAAUGAAAUAAUUCAAUAUUAUGCGAUUGUAUUUGUCGAUGUAGUAUGUAUUUUGCUGAAGAAGUUAGUUUUCUCUGAGGUAUUUUAUUUGAUGGUGUCCUGCUAAGGCCAGUCCACCGCUUUCUCCGUCUUCCCACGCUUAAUGACGAACGCGAGGAUGGGAAGAAAUGAACUAAGAAAAUAAGACUGAAUACGAGUGAGAACGUAUGGGCUAGAUCUUGGUUUUCCCGGAGGCAAUAAAGCCGAUUGCGCUAUCGAAUGAGAGCGAUAAAA